rnacentral:rRNA from 1 species
AGCGAACGCUGGCGGCAGGCUUAACACAUGCAAGUCGAGCGGGCACUUUCGGGUGUCAGCGGCGGACGGGUGAGUAACGCGUGGGAACGUGCCCUCUGGUUCGGAAUAACUCAGGGAAACUUGAGCUAAUACCGGAUACGCCCUUUUGGGGAAAGGCUUGCUGCCGGAGGGUCGGCCCGCGUCUGAUUAGCUAGUUGGUGAGGUAACGGCUCACCAAGGCGACGAUCAGUAGCUGGUCUGAGAGGAUGAUCAGCCACACUGGGACUGAGACACGGCCCAGACUCCUACGGGAGGCAGCAGUGGGGAAUAUUGGACAAUGGGCGCAAGCCUGAUCCAGCCAUGCCGCGUGAGUGAUGAAGGCCUUAGGGUUGUAAAGCUCUUUUAUCCGGGACGAUAAUGACGGUACCGGAGGAAUAAGCCCCGGCUAACUUCGUG